rnacentral:misc_RNA from 1 species
GAAAAAGGCCUCGCCCAAGAGCCUCAAUCACAGACAACCGCACAUUCUUAUCCAUGCUCCCUUCUGGGGUUCCGGGCACUAACAAUAACGUGGUGUCCAAACCGUGCUCUUCCCUUAAGUUCAAAUUAGACGGCCAGUCCAAUGAAAUUACCCCACCAUCUUCGGUGCUUAUACACAAUCUUUGGUAAGUCAAUUUGUCUUCCUUAUCAUCAUCGCCGG